CCUACGGGUGGCAGCAGUGAGGAAUAUUGGUCAAUGGACGCAAGUCUGAACCAGCCAUGCCGCGUGCAGGAAGACGGCUCUAUGAGUUGUAAACUGCUUUUGUACGAGGGUAAACGCAGAUACGCGUAUCUGUCUGAAAGUAUCGUACGAAUAAGGAUCGGCUAACUCCGUGCCAGCAGCCGCGGUAAUACGGAGGAUUCAAGCGUUAUCCGGAUUUAUUGGGUUUAAAGGGUGCGUAGGCGGUCGGAUAAGUUAGAGGUGAAAGCCCGAGGCUCAACUUCGGAAGUGCCUCGGAUACUGUUCGGCGAGAGAGUAGAUGCGGUAGGCGGAAUGUAAUGUGUAGCGGUGAAAUGCUUAGAGAUCAUACAGAACACCGGUUGCGAAGGCAGCUUACCAAGCUACUUCUGACGUUGUGGCACGAAAGCGUGGGGAGCAAACAGGAUUAGAUACCCCUGUAGUC
rnacentral:rRNA from 1 species